ACUUAUAUAUUUUAAAAGUAAUAUUGCAUUGAAGCUGCAAAAGUGGAAGUAUUCCUGUAAGUG
rnacentral:tRNA from 1 species